AUGUGUCUUCUCUUCUAUGUUUUAAAUGUUUGUAAUUUGUACGAUGCAUUCAAUCGCUUUUGGCCCAAUGUGAGUUCAUUCACUCUUGCAUCUAUGCUUGGUAGAUUACGUGCAUAUUCAAUUGAUCUUUUGAAAGAAAUUUCAAUUCAUAUUUCAGUUUUUGCAGAAGGGGUCCAUAGGAAAAUAAACUAUCGCAAUCUUAUAAAAGGUCUGUCUUUUUCACAAGUUCCAUAUAUCUUUUCCAACCUCAUAUACUAUCAGUUAAGUAUUUUAGAUUAUCUUUUGGAGGAGGUGCGUCUUUUCCUUUCAGGAAAUGAUGUUGGUUCAAGACAUUCCUGCCUCCUGUUUGUUAUGUUUAUCUGUUCCAUGAUACCAAAUCAGGAAUCAACAAAUGUUUGGAUAAUCCAGAUGUUGGAAGCAAGAAUAAAGAAUUUAAAUUCACAAGAUGCAUGUGCAACGCGCGGAGUGUUAUCUAGUUGGUUACUAUAG
rnacentral:rRNA from 1 species